CAAAACUCAUUAAAACUAAAAUUACUCCCUCAAUUAAUUAUAAAUUCUAAAAGCUUUAUUUUAAUAAUUAAUCUUUGAAUGAAAAGGAGAAUAGUGAGCAUCCGCUUCAUUAUCUCUCGAUUAUUCGAAUAAUUGGCGUACGCCACAUUGCUCGAAUCUUCGUCAUCAAAUUAAAACACAAUCGAAUAAAUUCAAACUAUUUUCACAAACCAAACAAAACACCCAAACACAUCAAUUCAACUUGUCACCCCCGUGUGACCGAAACCCUUUUCAAAAAGAACACUGUCAAUCCUUUCUAAUGCGCAUAACAAACCAACGCUUAAGCCUCCGCCGAGAGUAGACAAGCCAUCG
rnacentral:lncRNA from 1 species